UAUAGUUUCAAUCGCUAGUUUCAAGUCUUCUUCAAUACAGCAUGAUCAUUUUGUAAGUUGUGAUUGACAGGUCGCUACCACGGGACAACGUUGAUUACGUAACGUAACCAUGGCGCAGCUGCUGCUGCUUCACAUUCGGCCAAAAAAGGUCUUGUUCAACGUUUGGUUGUGAUAAAACUCCCUCUAAGGAGUUGAAUGUUCAGUUUUUCUGGAAAUGUGUGUUGGGGAGGAUUCAACUUCUGCUGAGGCUCAUGUGAACGUGCUACAAAGUGAGUAUUGGAGACACAUCCAGACAUCUGGACUGUCAAAGACUUCAUGGCGCAAACCUACUCCUGGAGUUGUUGUGAAAUCAUGGAAGGGAUGCCCAUGGAGGAUGUACUCAACAAAUACCCAUGUACUUAAGGACGCCUACUGGAGUUUUUUUUUUUGACAAAGUUGAACAAAUCCAUCCUUCAACAGACAGCUUCUGUCAUCACUUCAGGGAAGGCUUUGUUGGUGUUUUGCCAAAUGUGCUGAAACUUGCCAGGGGAAAUCUCUCCUAACAGUAUACUGACGCAAGACAGGAUCUCCUGGCUGAAGAUCUACCAGGUGGUGACAGUCACCUUGCUAAUGAACCUGACAAUAGAUCCGCUGUAAUUACCACAUUGCACGCUUGAAAUUGUAUGUGAUUGUGAAAGUAGGAUAUUUUUCUGCAUUGGAGGGAUUGACUUAAGGGCCGGGCUUAUCCUCUUGACAUCCAUCUUCAGAGAAAAGAUUGAACACUACAUCACUAUGGGAGAGGGGGACCCUGCUACACCCCAUCCAACCAUACAACUGAUGGACGAUGACUGGAAAAUGGCAACCACUGGAAGAAGGUUCAGUGUGGUGAAAGUAGAUGGAGUAGGCAUGUGUCAGUGCACAGGCCUUGAUGAAGCCUUCAGUAUGCAUGUCCACUGCACCUGAAAAACACACUGACCUUCCUUGUCAGUAUCCUGAAAGAGUGUUUUGCAUUUAAAACUGAUUAAUUAUAGUUAUAAAGUUGAUUUUAGUUAAUGUUCUGUAUGUUACAAAAUUUGUAACAUUUUAUGUUUAAAUUUGUGAAACACGCACUGUUUGUGUGUUUUGCAUGUAAAACGGGUUAAUGAAUAGUUCACAAGGCCUGAUGCCUCCAGUUUAAAAGUUUUUGUUUGUUGUUUUUAAUUUGCAUUUUGUGUACCUUUUACUUUGUUACAUUAUGUGUGAAACCAAGUUGUGAAAUGGAGUUUUGAUUCACUCAGUGAUUAAUGAAUGGCUCCUUAGGCCCAAUGCUUCAGCUUAAUGUUGAAAAGAAACACUUUUUGUCAUGUGCCGGAACUUUUUAAGGACAAAUCAGUUCUAGCAGAAAAAUACAUUGAUUGAAAUAGACUGAAAAUUAAUUGGUUUAUAUGUAAAAUAUUGAUAUUGUUAAAAUAUGUAAACUAAUUGUUCUUCAAAUAAAUUUUGGUGAAUCGUU